UACGUAGGGGGCAAGCGUUGUCCGGAGUUACUGGGCGUAAAGCGCACGCAGGCGGUCGGCUGCGUAGGUGGUGACAGUCCUCGGCUUACCUGAGGAAGCGCUGCCUAAACGGGUCGACUUGAGGGCCAGAGAGGGACACGGAACUCCGGGUGGAGCGGUGAAAUGCGUAGAGAUCCGGAAGAACACCAAAGGCGAAGGCAGUGUCCUGGCUGGCUCCUGACGCUCAGGUGCGAAAGCUAGGGGAGCAAACAGG
rnacentral:rRNA from 1 species